rnacentral:misc_RNA from 1 species
GAUGAAGAACGUAGCGAAAUGCGAUAAGUAAUGCGAAUUGCAGAAUUUCCGUGAGUCAUCGAAUCUUUGAACGCACAUUGCGCCCACUGGUAUUCCGGUGGGCAUGCCUGUUCGAGCGUCAUUAUCCUCCCUCAAACCCCGGGUUUGGUGUUGGACCCAAGUUGUGUGAACAACUGGUCUUAAAGACAAUGACGGCGUCCGUGGGACCCUCGGUGCAACGAGCUUUUAGGAGCACGCAUCGAGUUGCAAGGACCUUCCGGGCCGGUCUCCUUUACUAUUUUACAAAGUUGACCUCGGAUCAGGUAGGAAUACCCGCUGAACUUAAGCAUAUCAAUAAGCGGAGGA